rnacentral:lncRNA from 1 species
CGCAGGUCUCUCUCCAAAUAAUCAUUGUGACCAACUGCUGUCAGAAUGGCUGCAUCAUUGAGAUUCACUGAUCCAGGCAACCCCAUAUCAUCAGACCAACACUCACUAAUGAAUACUUCCCGGGACUCCGGCAUGGCGAGACUAAAGAGCAGCGCAGAUCUGCUGACCAGAAGCCUGUCCUCCUGUUUAUCUCCACAAGCAUCACCCACAGAAUGGCCUUUGGCACCUUGGAGCUGCGAGACACCUUUACAUGAUGACCAACAUUGUCACUGUUAAAACUUGACCAUUCUUCACCAAGCCUCAGGUGACACGAGUGACUUUUGUACUCUUUUGCUAGGCUUGCCAUGAGACUGUGUGGCUUAA